UACAGAGGUCCCAAGCGUUGUUCGGAUUCACUGGGCGUAAAGGGCGCGUAGGUGGCCCGGUCAGUUCGUGGUGAAAGCGCGGGGCUCAACCCUGCGUCGGCCAUGAAUACUGCCGCGGCUGGAGCACUGUAGAGGCAGGCGGAAUUCCGGGUGUAGCGGUGGAAUGCGUAGAGAUCCGGAAGAACACCGGUGGCGAAGGCGGCCUGCUGGGCAGUUGCUGACACUGAGGCGCGACAGCGUGGGGAGCAAACAGG
rnacentral:rRNA from 1 species